AUCCAUGCAGUGACUGAACAACAACUGCAUUUCCACCCCCAUCUCUAAAGGCAUAGUAUCAUGGCAGAUCACCUGUCAAGUCACCUGUCAGGGAGACUUUGCAAUGCCUCCAUGUGCGACUACCUUGAGCAGCAGUUUGAGGGACUUUGCGGGGAAAAUGCAGCACGACGACCCCCAGUGGGUGGGCGCCGAGGGGUGUGGUGCUCCUCCAGCAGCUCUCAUGAGGUUUUCUCUAUACUUUUGGUGGUCCACCUUCCCUGUGGCCGACAUGGUUGCUGUAUGGACAGUGGAGAGGACAUGGACGUCUCGCUUGUCAUGCCACUUUACUGCCAGCUGUUGACCGUUCUCCUGGAACUCCACCUUCCCUCUCUGCAUCUUCCUGCAUCUGAAUGCUGGCAUCCCCUUCCGGUUCAACCUGACUGUGCCACAGGCCCCUGUGCUGUUGGAGAGCAGAUGCUGGAAGAGUGUGGGACUGCUGUACCAAUUGUCCACGUACAAAGUGUGUCCCUUGCCGAGAUGAGGAGCCAGCAUGGUCAUCACCACGGACCCUGACACCCCAAGCCCCUCAUAAUGUUUGAUGUCAGUGGUGGGCCCUGUGUAAACUAUAAUGUCCUGGACAAAUCCUGUCUUCACGUCGCACAUGACAAGGAACUUGACUCCAAACCUGUGCCUUUUGGAGGGAAUAUAUUGACGGAACGCCAGCCUACCUUUCCAUAACAUCAGGGACUCAUCAAUGCAUAGGUCCUUGUAUGGCACAAAGACCUGACCAAAUGCUGAUGUCAGGCUGGUAAGAUAUUUCUUAUUUUGUAUAACAGGUCACUUAGGAUGGCAGUAACAUUGUUGAU